rnacentral:rRNA from 1 species
AGAGUUUGAUCCUGGCUCAGGAUGAACGCUAGCUACAGGCUUAACACAUGCAAGUCGAGGGGAAACGACAUCGAAAGCUUGCUUUUGAUGGGCGUCGACCGGCGCACGGGUGAGUAACGCGUAUCCAACCUGCCCACCACUUGGGAAUAACCUUGCGAAAGUAAGACUAAUACCUAAUGACGUCUCUAGAAGACAUCUGAAAGGGAUUAAAGAUUUAUCGGUGAUGGAUGGGGAUGCGUCUGAUUAGCUUGUUGGCGGGGUAACGGCCCACCAAGGCUACGAUCAGUAGGGGUUCUGAGAGGAAGGUCCCCCACAUUGGAACUGAGACACGGUCCAAACUCCUACGGGAGGCAGCAGUGAGGAAUAUUGGUCAAUGGACGAGAGUCUGAACCAGCCAAGUAGCGUGCAGGAUGACGGCCCUAUGGGUUGUAAACUGCUUUUAUAAGGGAAUAAAGUGAGUCUCGUGAGACUUUUUGCAUGUACCUUAUGAAUAAGGACCGGCUAAUUCCGUGCCAGCAGCCGCGGUAAUACGGAAGGUCCGGGCGUUAUCCGGAUUUAUUGGGUUUAAAGGGAGCGUAGGCCGGAGAUUAAGCGUGUUGUGAAAUGUAGAUGCUCAACAUCUGCACUGCAGCGCGAACUGGUUUCCUUGAGUACGCACAAAGUGGGCGGAAUUCGUGGUGUAGCGGUGAAAUGCUUAGAUAUCACGAAGAACUCCGAUUGCGAAGGCAGCUCACUGGAGCGCAACUGACGCUGAAGCUCGAAAGUGCGGGUAUCGAACAGGAUUAGAUACCCUGGUAGUCCGCACGGUAAACGAUGGAUGCCCGCUGUUGGUCUGAAUAGGUCAGCGGCCAAGCGAAAGCAUUAAGCAUCCCACCUGGGGAGUACGCCGGCAACGGUGAAACUCAAAGGAAUUGACGGAAGGGCGA